UGUGUGUGUGGGACAGUCAUUCAGUCAGUUGAGCUGCUGCUCCCUAACCAUGGCUGUUCUCUCUGCAGAGGUCCUGCGCUGGCAUGCUCGCAUUGAGGAGCUGGAAGAUGAACUGGAAGCAGAGCAGGCCAUCAGAGCCAAGUGAUGGAGAUGAGGAUGCAAUGG